rnacentral:rRNA from 1 species
CGAACGGCACCUAUCUUCGGAUAGAAGCGAGUGGCGAACGGCUGAGUAACACGUGGAGAACCUGCCCCCUCCCCCCGGGAUAGCCGCCCGAAAGGACGGGUAAUACCGGAUACCCCGGGGUGCCGCAUGGCACCCCGGCUAAAGCCCCGACGGGAGGGGAUGGCUCCGCGGCCCAUCAGGUAGACGGCGGGGUGACGGCCCACCGUGCCGACAACGGGUAGCCGGGUUGAGAGACCGACCGGCCAGAUUGGGACUGAGACACGGCCCAA